CCUGUACGGAUAACAUUUCUGCUGAGAAUCCAUCCUCCAAUCCCGACAUCUCCAGUACAACAAUGGCGUUGCCGCCAAUAGAGAGAGAAAUGAACAAAGAAGGAACAGCUCUCCUUUCGUCGGUGUAAUGAAGACAUGCUAUGAAUAAUGUAAACCCAAGCGCAAAUGCUGGCUGCAAUGAAAGGAAACAUGGCAACGAAUUAAGAAUCAAGUGAGAGCAACAAAGGGGCCUUCGCAGACGUCCCCUCUUCUUCUUGGGCGGCUCUCCAACAUGCGACACAUGAAUCCACUCCAUCUCGGGCACCGGCUUUGCCCUCUUCGGGUGUCUUUUCCUCACUUUUCCAGAUUCGCCUCGGGUUCUGGUUUAGGAAAUGAUGGAACAAACUAGCAAUUCUGACGCCUCUGCUCCUCCAAGAUUUGGCAAUGAAGCCACAGUUCUUCAUACUUGAUGAUGAGGACAUCAAGUCAUCAUCAGAAAAGGAGAAAGGAACCAAG